GACGAACGCUGGCGGCGUGCUUAACACAUGCCAGUCGAACGGAAAGGCCCUGCUUUUGUGGGGUGCUCGAGUGGCGAACGGGUGAGUAACACGUGAGUAACCUGCCCUUGACUUUGGGAUAACUUCAGGAAACUGGGGCUAAUACCGGAUAGGAGCUCCUGCUGCAUGGUGGGGGUUGGAAAGUUUCGGCGGUUGGGGAUGGACUCGCGGCUUAUCAGCUUGUUGGUGGGGUAGUGGCUUACCAAGGCUUUGACGGGUAGCCGGCCUGAGAGGGUGACCGGCCACAUUGGGACUGAGAUACGGCCCAGACUCCUACGGGAGGCAGCAGUGGGGAAUAUUGCACAAUGGGCGGAAGCCUGAUGCAGCAACGCCGCGUGCGGGAUGCCGGCCUUCGGGUUGUAAACCGCUUUCGCCUGUGACGAAGCGUGAGUGACGGUAAUGGGUAAAGAAGCACCGGCUAACUACGUG
rnacentral:rRNA from 1 species